rnacentral:rRNA from 1 species
UGGGGAAUAUUGGACAAUGGGCGAAAGCCUGAUCCAGCAAUGCCGCGUGUGUGAAGAAGGCCUUCGGGUUGUAAAGCUCUUUUGUCAGGGAAGAAACGGUUCCGGCUAAUAUCCGGAAUCAAUGACGGUACCUGAAGAAUAAGCACCGGCUAACUCUGUGC